ACAUGCCUACAUCAUAGCGUUAAUGCACCGGAUCCCAUUAGAACUCUGCAGUUAAGCGUGCUUAGGAUAGAGUAGUACUGGGAUGGGUGAUCGUCCGACAAGUCCUAGUGUUUUACAUUCC
rnacentral:rRNA from 1 species